UAUAGGCCGCUGUACUCCGUAAAAGAACUUAAGGAAGAGCACCUAGUGAGAUAAUUGUAUGUCUGCCAUAUCAUCCGUUAAACAGCCAGGUUUUUGAAGGAAGAAAGAUGUAGCCCCAGCUCUGGACAAAAAUAUUAUGGAGAAGGUUGGCCGCUGUACAGGGCAGCUAUAGUUAUUAUUAUAUGUUGCCUUUUAUUGUUAUGUACUGUUUUUAUACUUUACCAAUAAACCUUAUAUUUAUCUAGA